GGGUUGUGAGGUUAAGCGACUAAGCGUACACGGUGGAUGCCCUGGCAGUCAGAGGCGAUGAAGGGCGUGCUAAUCUGCGAUAAGCGCCGGUAAGGUGAUAUGAACCGUUAUAACCGGCGAUACCCGAAUGGGGAAACCCAGUGUGACUCGUCACACUAUCAUUAACUGAAUCCAUAGGUUAAUGAGGCGAACCGGGGGAACUGAAACAUCUAAGUACCCCGAGGAAAAGAAAUCAACCGAGAUUCCCCCAGUAGCGGCGAGCGAACGGGGAGGAGCCCAGAGCCUGAAUCAGCAUAUGUGUUAGUGGAAGCGUCUGGAAAGGCGCGCGAUACAGGGUGACAGCCCCGUACACAAAAGCGCAUGUGCUGUGAGCUCGAUGAGUAGGGCGGGACACGUGGUAUCCUGUCUGAAUAUGGGGGGACCAUCCUCCAAGGCUAAAUACUCCUGACUGACCGAUAGUGAACCAGUACCGUGAGGGAAAGGCGAAAAGAACCCCGGCGAGGGGAGUGAAAAAGAACCUGAAACCGUGUACGUACAAGCAGUGGGAGCCCCACCACUAAGCCAGUGGUGAACUCCACAUACGCAUCCUUUGCUGAGGAUACGGUUAACGGAGCGAAAGCGACGUUCAACCUCAAAAGAAGCAGAGGGGGCUUAGUGGUGGGGUGACUGCGUACCUUUUGUAUAAUGGGUCAGCGACUUAUAUUCUGUAGCAAGGUUAACCGAAUAGGGGAGCCGGAGGGAAACCGAGUCUUAACCGGGCGUUAAGUUGCAGGGUAUAGACCCGAAACCCGGUGAUCUAGCCAUGGGCAGGUUGAAGGUUGGGUAACACUAACUGGAGGACCGAACCGACUAAUGUUGAAAAAUUAGCGGAUGACCUGUGGCUGGGGGUGAAAGGCCAAUCAAACCGGGAGAUAGCUGGUUCUCCCCGAAAGCUAUUUAGGUAGCGCCUCGUGAAUUCAUCUCCGGGGGUAGAGCACUGUUUCGGCUAGGGGGCCAUCCCGGCUUACCAACCCGAUGCAAACUGCGAAUACCGGAGAAUGUUAUCACGGGAGACACACGGCGGGUGCUAACGUCCGUCGUGAAGAGGGAAACAACCCAGACCGCCAGCUAAGGUCCCAAAGUCAUGGUUAAGUGGGAAACGAUGUGGGAAGGCCCAGACAGCCAGGAUGUUGGCUUAGAAGCAGCCAUCAUUUAAAGAAAGCGUAAUAGCUCACUGGUCGAGUCGGCCUGCGCGGAAGAUGUAACGGGGCUAAACCAUGCACCGAAGCUGCGGCAGCGACGCUGAUGCGUUGUUGGGUAGGGGAGCGUUCUGUAAGCCUGCGAAGGUGGCCUGUGAGGGUUGCUGGAGGUAUCAGAAGUGCGAAUGCUGACAUAAGUAACGAUAAAGCGGGUGAAAAGCCCGCUCGCCGGAAGACCAAGGGUUCCUGUCCAACGUUAAUCGGGGCAGGGUGAGUCGACCCCUAAGGCGAGGCCGAAAGGCGUAGUCGAUGGGAAACGGGUUAAUAUUCCCGUACUUGGUGUUACUGCGAAGGGGGGACGGAGAAGGCUAUGUUGGCCGGGCGACGGUUGUCCCGGUUUAAGCGUGUAGGUGUGUGUUCCAGGUAAAUCCGGUUCACUUUAACACUGAGGCGUGAUGACGAGGCACUACGGUGCUGAAGCAACAAAUGCCCUGCUUCCAGGAAAAGCCUCUAAGCAUCAGGUAACAUCAAAUCGUACCCCAAACCGACACAGGUGGUCAGGUAGAGAAUACCAAGGCGCUUGAGAGAACUCGGGUGAAGGAACUAGGCAAAAUGGUGCCGUAACUUCGGGAGAAGGCACGCUGACACGUAGGUGAAGUGAUUUACUCAUGGAGCUGAAGUCAGUCGAAGAUACCAGCUGGCUGCAACUGUUUAUUAAAAACACAGCACUGUGCAAACACGAAAGUGGACGUAUACGGUGUGACGCCUGCCCGGUGCCGGAAGGUUAAUUGAUGGGGUCAGCGCAAGCGAAGCUCCUGAUCGAAGCCCCGGUAAACGGCGGCCGUAACUAUAACGGUCCUAAGGUAGCGAAAUUCCUUGUCGGGUAAGUUCCGACCUGCACGAAUGGCGUAAUGAUGGCCAGGCUGUCUCCACCCGAGACUCAGUGAAAUUGAACUCGCUGUGAAGAUGCAGUGUACCCGCGGCAAGACGGAAAGACCCCGUGAACCUUUACUAUAGCUUGACACUGAACAUUGAGCCUUGAUGUGUAGGAUAGGUGGGAGGCUUUGAAGUGUGGACGCCAGUCUGCAUGGAGCCGGCCUUGAAAUACCACCCUUUAAUGUUUGAUGUUCUAACGUGGACCCGUGAUCCGGGUUGCGGACAGUGUCUGGUGGGUAGUUUGACUGGGGCGGUCUCCUCCUAAAGAGUAACGGAGGAGCACGAAGGUUGGCUAAUCCUGGUCGGACAUCAGGAGGUUAGUGCAAUGGCAUAAGCCAGCUUGACUGCGAGCGUGACGGCGCGAGCAGGUGCGAAAGCAGGUCAUAGUGAUCCGGUGGUUCUGAAUGGAAGGGCCAUCGCUCAACGGAUAAAAGGUACUCCGGGGAUAACAGGCUGAUACCGCCCAAGAGUUCAUAUCGACGGCGGUGUUUGGCACCUCGAUGUCGGCUCAUCACAUCCUGGGGCUGAAGUAGGUCCCAAGGGUAUGGCUGUUCGCCAUUUAAAGUGGUACGCGAGCUGGGUUUAGAACGUCGUGAGACAGUUCGGUCCCUAUCUGCCGUGGGCGCUGGAGAACUGAGGGGGGCUGCUCCUAGUACGAGAGGACCGGAGUGGACGCAUCACUGGUGUUCGGGUUGUCAUGCCAAUGGCACUGCCCGGUAGCUAAAUGCGGAAGAGAUAAGUGCUGAAAGCAUCUAAGCACGAAACUUGCCCCGAGAUGAGUUCUCCCUGAGACUUAGAGUCUCCUGAAGGAACGUUGAAGACGACGACGUUGAUAGGCCGGGUGUGUAAGCGCAGCGAUGCGUUGAGCUAACCGGUACUAAUGAACCGUGAGGCUUAACCUUACAACGCCGAAG
rnacentral:rRNA from 1 species